rnacentral:rRNA from 1 species
UACGUAGGGUGCAAGCGUUAAUCGGAAUUACUGGGCGUAAAGCGUGCGCAGGCGGUUGUGUAAGUCUGUCGUGAAAUCCCCGGGCUCAACCUGGGAAUUGCGAUGGAGACUGCACGGCUAGAGUGUGUCAGAGGGGGGUAGAAUUCCACGUGUAGCAGUGAAAUGCGUAGAGAUGUGGAGGAACACCAGUGGCGAAGGCGGCUCUUUGGUCUGUAACUGACGCUGAGGCGCGAAAGCGUGGGGAGCGAACAGG